rnacentral:snRNA from 1 species
AUACUUACCUGGCAGGGGGAGACACCAUGAUCAUGAAGGGGAUUUUCCCAGGGCGAGGCUUAUCCACUGUACUCUGGAAUGUGCAAUUUCCUCAAAUGUGGGAAACUCAACUGCAUAAUUUGUAGUAGGGGAGUACAUUCAUGUUCUCCCCCU